rnacentral:lncRNA from 1 species
UUCAAUGAGGGGUUAGUGAAACAAGAAAUCACAUAUGAUAUAACAAACUCACUAACAAUAUUUAUAAACAAAAACAUCAAUUAAUUAACAUAUAUUGGUAGAAGUUGAUAACUAGCCGUUUUUGGAAAAUUAAGACAAACUUGUAAAAUGAAAGGAGGAUGAAACUAAGGAGAAAUCUACCAACUUAUGUGAUAAAUUUGAAUGGAUUUCAUUGUAGGUCUAUCAUAUAAGUUUGCAUUUUUCACUUUAGUUUCAUCCUCUUUUGUAUUUUUU